rnacentral:rRNA from 1 species
GACGAACGCUGGCGGCGUGCCUAAUACAUGCAAGUCGAGCGAUGAGGCUUGGCGCUUGCACCAAUUUCAAGUGCAGCGCACGUGUGAGUAACGCGUGUGGAAUCUCCCUGUGAGCGGGGUACAACAUGUGGAAACGAGUGCUAAUACCGCAUAACAUCUUUAUACAUAAUGUGUAAUUUUGAAAUAUGCAAUUGCAUCACUCAAAGAUGAUCUCGCGUUGUAUUAGCUAGUUGGUGAGGUACAGGCUCUCCAAGGCGAGGCUACAUAGCCGACCUGAGAGGGUGGUCGGCCACGUUGGGACUGGGACACGGCCCAAACUACUACGGGAGGCAGCAGUAGGGAAUCUGGGGCAAUGGACGGAAGACUGGCCGAGCAAGGCCGCGUGAGUGAAGAAGGUUUUCGGAUCGUAGAACUCUGUUGGUAGAGAAGAACGUUGGUGAGAGUGGAAAGCUCAUCAAGUGACGGUAACUACCCAGAAAGGGACGGCUAACUACGUG